rnacentral:tRNA from 1 species
GUGGUUGUAGCUCAGUGGUAGAGCGCUUGCCUGGCAUGUGCAAAGCACUGGGUUCAAGUCUCAAUGCCACA